AAAAGGUCAUUUUAUAAAUAUAAAGCAGUAUUAGAGCUCAAAUUUUAGCGGAAGAGAAGCAUAGUUGAAAUUUGAAAAGAUCUACCAAGUUUUCUUUCUAGUCUAAAAUAUCACAUUCUAAAUAAAGACCUUAAUGAUGUUUGAUGAUGUCUAUAAUCUAUUGUUUGGACUCUGGAUUAUAGUAUCUCUUUCUCUUUCAUUCAAAUUUGUUAAUGAUAAAAAAUGACUAACAACUUGUUUGUAUACCAGGCGGAACAUGUUGGUAUACUAUUUUAUCUACUAGUACCAUACUACUCUGAUAUAUUAUUGAAACCGAUAUCGGACUGAGAUUGAAAAUAUUAUUUUUGGUGUGUAUUUUGUUUAUUUCAAUUUGUUUACAAGAGUAGUUCUGAUUCAUUUUUAUGGGCAUUAACUUUAUUUCUGGUAACAUCUGAAAUUUUACUACAAGACAACUACAUAGUUUGCCAACAUGGCAACCAAUUUUAGUGACUAAGACUUUUAGUUAAAAGCAAGGGCUUUUCAAUUUUAGUUAUUUUAGGUUACAUGAAUGAACAAACAGUGUACUCUUUUUUUCCAAAAGUGGACAAAUUUAAAUAUGUAAGAUGAUAUGCUAGACAUUGUUUGUAAAAAAUGAACUAACAAAAUGAAAGAAUACAGGAAGAACUCGCAAGACUCUGAACGUUUACAUCUUUGGGCAAUGUGUCAUUAGAACCAGAAGCUCAGUUUAAACACAUACUUUACCUUCAUUUGAAUUAGUGAAUUGGUCCCCCCUCUCUGUCUUUGUUAAGCCUUCUGAAUUUUUUAAUGAAAUAUUGCAAACUUGUUUAAAGAGUUCAAUUAUUCCAAGAAUUACUUCAAUGCAUUUCUGAUUUUAGUAAGAUGUGUCAUAAUUUCUGUAGAAAGCAGUUAUUCAACCUAAGAGAACUAUAAACCACAGUAUAUAUCAUAAUAGUAAAGAGAUACCAAACAAAUAAAUCUAUGAGCUUGAUAAAGGUGAGGCAUUGUAAUUCUGUUUAUUAUGUUUUUCCCUGUGAAAUGAAUAAAAAUAUCAAAUUUACAUGUCUUUCCAUGAAUAGACUAGGUCUUCUGCAACAUAGAUACACUUCUGAUCCUAAGAUAGGGCUAGAAAAAUGGUGCCAAAUGGGAUAUAAUGCAGGUUCUAAAUUUUGGAAGUUAGCUUACUAGAUCAAUAGUUCACAAAUGCUUCAUUAUGGUGAUAGUGGAGUAGUUCGGGUCCUUCCGAUUAAUAGGAUCUUCAUUGAAUCUGAAGGUUCUGAUUUGUGAUUGUUUCAGUCUAUGGGAUUUAUCUUGUUGAAUCAGUUGUAGCUGUAGAAGAGUAGAAGCAAUGUUCAUGAGCUUGAUAGACAAGCUUGUUAUGUUUCAUAUAAAUGUUCACCAAUUAAUGACAUGGCUACUAUUUCAGUAUUUUUUCAAUUCUGCUGUUGUGGUCAUUUACCACAAGUUUCAACAUCCAAGCACUAUAACUGAAAUUUGCCUUUUGUAAGUAUAACACCGACCUUUGAGUUGGUAUUUCUUGUUUCCAACUUCCCUAUUUGUUUAUUGAGAUUAAGGUAGCAGCAGCGGUUGUGAUUAUUUAUUGCGAUUCCAGUAAUAUCACAUGUGGUACCAAGUUUGAAUUUGACAUGAUAAUUCCGAUUGAAUUAUUUAAGUGAUCAUUUUUUUAGUAAUCUAUUGAUGAUCUUGUUGGAUGUAAUUGAGAAACAAAAUGAAUAUUGGGUAAGCAUUUGAAGUUUCCAUCACCAAAGUUACCAUCCCUUCCAACACCUCUACCUCUGUGCCUCUUGCCACCGUCAUG
rnacentral:lncRNA from 1 species